rnacentral:rRNA from 1 species
UACGUAGGGGGCAAGCGUUGUCCGGAUUUAUUGGGCGUAAAGAGCGUGUAGGCGGCUUUACAGGUCCGUUGUGAAAACUCGAGGCUCAACCUCGAGACGCCGGUGGAAACCGUAAAGCUAGAGUCCGGAAGAGGAGAGUGGAAUUCCUGGUGUAGCGGUGAAAUGCGCAGAUAUCGGGAGGAACACCAGUGGCGAAGGCGGCACUCUGGGCCGGAACUGACGCUGAGGAGCGAAAGCGUGGGGAGCGAACAGG